AUUAAUCUUCCCCAAUCAGGUGAAAACCAUUAUGAAAUGACCCUUUCUAUUCAUUUUUUUUCUAGUCCAAGCUAGAGCCCAAUAGAGGUGUGAGACACUCAGCACAAGGAACAGAGUCUGAUUCAUCAGAGGAUGUCAAAUUCUGCAUUCCACUUCAGAGUAACCUGGGGUGAGGUACCCAUGUGUCUGGUGUCUCAAUGGCUGGAAGAGGUGAUGCCUGACCUUAAAGGCUGUAUAGAGCCACCACAAGCAUUUCUGGGACAGGGACGUGCAUGUAUCAUAGUUCAGCCUUAUGGAGAAGCUGCCCUGCCAGUCUGCGUGAGAGAAAGGAUGAAGCCAUUGUAAACCUGGUCUUUUCUUCUUCAAAGCAUGUAACAUUAUGCACAGUCUGAGGCACGCGAUCUAGGAUGUUGCUAUGCCUCUGUUUCUUCAGCUGUUGGAUGGGGAUAUUAUUAUGCUCUUGUCUCGGAUGCUGAGAGGGUUAAUUAAUUAUGCUUAUGAAACCCUUUGAGAUUCUCAGAUGAAAGGUGGCUUUAGAAUUGUUAGGUGUUAUUAUAAGAAAAAAGAAUGAUUUUAUUGCUUCAUGUUAAUGGUUAACAUCUGCACCACAAAACCUGCUUGAUCACAUAAAGAUUCUGCUAAGCAUUUAAUCCUAA